rnacentral:rRNA from 1 species
UACGUAGGGUGCGAGCGUUAAUCGGAAUUACUGGGCGUAAAGCGUGCGCAGGCGGUUCUCCAAGUCCGUUGUGAAAGCCCCGGGCUCAACCUGGGAAUGGCAGUGGAAACUAGGGGACUGGAAUCUGGCAGAGGGGGGUGGAAUUCCACGUGUAGCAGUGAAAUGCGUAGAGAUGUGGAGGAACACCGAUGGCGAAGGCAGCCCCCUGGGUCAAGAUUGACGCUCAUGCACGAAAGCGUGGGGAGCAAACAGG